GAUAGAGUGAUGAAUUUGCUGGUGUUGGCCGCUGUCUCUGCAUUUUUGACCAGGGUUUCCCAGAUGGCUGUCAGAAACACUGCAUCAGGCUUGGAUAUCCUGCAAGUAAUGCGCCUGGCAGAUGGGCAUGAGCUGCCGUGUUUGUUGCAAGUCCUUGUCCUCUGCCUGAAAGAGUAAGGAAAUGGGAGACCUGAGCCUUCUCUGAUGGUAAGGUCAUUUAUGCCCACCCGUUUUUCAUCCUCGUGGUUUUCCUGCGGCUGAAAUCUCCGUCCUUCUGCUUUGGAGGGAGCUCUUUUUUUGUCAGUGUGUGCAAUCCACUGUGUCUCCUGCAAACCAAGUGCUGUCCAUGGUAUAGUGAUGAAUUUGCUGGUGGUGGCUGCUGCCUCUGCAUUUCUGACCAGAGUUUCCGGGACGGAUGUGAAAAAAAUGGCCUCAGGCAUGGAUAUGAUGGAAGGAACGCGGUGAGCAAGGUCCAAUGAGAGAGGGCAGGGAGGUGAAGCCAGGGGCUGCACCUAGUGUUGGGUGGUGGCUGCUCGUCCGUGGUUGGUUUGUGUGUCUCUUGCAGGGUGGCAGAUGGCCAUGCAUUGUGUUGGCGUGUUUGUUGCAGGUCCUUGUUUUCAUUACCUGAAAGAGUAAGGUAAUGGGAGACGUGCGACUGCUCUCCUGGUAAGGUCAUUUAUGCCCACCCUUUCUUCAUGCUGUUUUUCCUGGGGCUGAAAUUUACAUUUCUGGUCUUUGAAGGCAGCUCUUCUGUCAGUGUGUGCAAUCCACUGUGGCUCCUGCAUCCCAAGUGCUGGCCGUGGUACAGUGAUGAAUUUGCUGGUGUUGGCCGCUGUCUCUGCAUUUUUGUCCUGAGAUUCCAGGAUGGACGUCAAAAAACUGCAUCAGGCAUGGAUAUCAUGCAAGUAAUGCGGUGAGCAAGGUCCAGUGAGAGAGGGCAGGGUGGUGAAGGCCCUGGCUGCCUUUAGGGAUGGAUGGUAGCUGCUUGUAUGUGGUUGGUUUGUGUGUCUCUUGCAGCCUGGCAGAUAUCCAUGAAUUGACGUGUUUGUUGCAAGUGCUUGUUUUCUGCCGGAAAGAGUAAGGUAAUGGGAGACCUGCGGCUGCUCUCCUGGUAAGGUCAUUUAUACCCACCCGUUUUUUCGUCCGUGGGGUUUUCCUGCGGCUGAAAUCUCUGUCCUUCUGCUUUGAAGGGAGCUCUUUUUUUGUCAGUGUGUGCAAUCCACUGUGUCUCCUGCAAACCAAGUGCUGUCCAUGGUAUAGUGAUGAGUUUGCUGGUGGUGGCUGCUGCCUCUGCAUUUCUGACCAGAGUUUCCGGGACGGAUGUGAAAAAAAUGGCCUCAGGCAUGGAUAUGAUGGAAGGAACGCGGUGAGCAAGGUCCAAUGAGAGAGGGCAGGGAGGUGAAGCCAGGGGCUGCACCUAGUGUUGGGUGGUGGCUGCUCGUCCGUGGUUGGUUUGUGUGUCUCUUGCAGGGUGGCAGAUGGCCAUGCAUUGUGUUGGCGUGUUUGUUGCAGGUCCUUGUUUUCAUUACCUGAAAGAGUAAGGUAAUGGGAGACGUGCGACUGCUCUCCUGGUAAGGUCAUUUAUGCCCACCCUUUCUUCAUGCUGUUUUUCCUGGGGCUGAAAUUUACAUUUCUGGUCUUUGAAGGCAGCUCUUCUGUCAGUGUGUGCAAUCCACUGUGGCUCCUGCAUCCCAAGUGCUGGCCGUGGUACAGUGAUGAAUUUGCUGGUGUUGGCCGCUGUCUCUGCAUUUUUGUCCUGAGAUUCCAGGAUGGACGUCAAAAAACUGCAUCAGGCAUGGAUAUCAUGCAAGUAAUGCGGUGAGCAAGGUCCAGUGAGAGAGGGCAGGGUGGUGAGGCCCUGGCUGCCUUUAGGGAUGGAUGGUGGCUGCUUGUAUGUGGUUGGUUUGUGUGUCUCUUGCAGCCUGGCAGAUAUCCAUGAAUUGACGUGUUUGUUGCAAGUGCUUGUUUUCUGCCGGAAAGAGUAAGGUAAUGGGAGACCUGCGGCUGCUCUCCUGGUAAGGUCAUUUAUACCCACCCGUUUUUCAUCCUCGUGGUUUUCCUGCGGCUGAAAUCUCUGUCCUUCUGCUUUGAAGGGAGCUCUUUUUUUGUCAGUGUGUGCAAUCCACUGUGUCUCCUGCAAACCAAGUGCUGUCCAUGGUAUAGUGAUGAAUUUGCUGGUGGUGGCUGCUGCCUCUGCAUUUCUGACCAGAGUUUCCGGGACGGAUGUGAAAAAAAUGGCCUCAGGCAUGGAUAUGAUGGAAGGAACGCGGUGAGCAAGGUCCAAUGAGAGAGGGCAGGGAGGUGAAGCCAGGGGCUGCACCUAGUGUUGGGUGGUGGCUGCUCGUCCGUGGUUGGUUUGUGUGUCUCUUGCAGGGUGGCAGAUGGCCAUGCAUUGUGUUGGCGUGUUUGUUGCAGGUCCUUGUUUUCAUUACCUGAAAGAGUAAGGUAAUGGGAGACGUGCGACUGCUCUCCUGGUAAGGUCAUUUAUGCCCACCCUUUCUUCAUGCUGUUUUUCCUGGGGCUGAAAUUUACAUUUCUGGUCUUUGAAGGCAGCUCUUCUGUCAGUGUGUGCAAUCCACUGUGUCUCCUGCAAUCCCAUUACUGUCCCAGAUAGAGUGAUGAAUUUGCUGGUGUUGGCCGCUGUCUCUGCAUUUUUGACCAGGGUUUCCCAGAUGGCUGUCAGAAACACUGCAUCAGGCAUGGAUAUCCUGCAAGUAAUGCGGUGAGCAGCGUGCAUGAGGGAGGGCAGGGCAGUGAAGCCACGGGCGGCCUUUACGGUCAGUUGGUGGCUGCUUCUCCGUGGUUGGUUUGUGUGUCUCUUGCAGCCUGGCAGAUGGGCAUGAGCUGCCGUGUUUGUUGCAAGUCCUUGUCCUCUGCCUGAAAGAGUAAGGAAAUGGGAGACCUGAGCCUUCUCUGAUGGUAAGGUCAUUUAUGCCCACCCGUUUUUCAUCCUCGUGGUUUUCCUGCGGCUGAAAUCUCUGUCCUUCUGCUUUGGAGGGAGCUCUUUUUUUGUCAGUGUGUGCAAUCCACUGUGUCUCCUGCAAACCAAGUGCUGUCCAUGGUAUAGUGAUGAAUUUGCUGGUGGUGGCUGCUGCCUCUGCAUUUCUGACCAGAGUUUCCGGGACGGAUGUGAAAAAAAUGGCCUCAGGCAUGGAUAUGAUGGAAGGAACGCGGUGAGCAAGGUCCAAUGAGAGAGGGCAGGGAGGUGAAGCCAGGGGCUGCACCUAGUGUUGGGUGGUGGCUGCUCGUCCGUGGUUGGUUUGUGUGUCUCUUGCAGGGUGGCAGAUGGCCAUGCAUUGUGUUGGCGUGUUUGUUGCAGGUCCUUGUUUUCAUUACCUGAAAGAGUAAGGUAAUGGGAGACGUGCGACUGCUCUCCUGGUAAGGUCAUUUAUGCCCACCCUUUCUUCAUGCUGUUUUUCCUGGGGCUGAAAUUUACAUUUCUGGUCUUUGAAGGCAGCUCUUCUGUCAGUGUGUGCAAUCCACUGUGGCUCCUGCAUCCCAAGUGCUGGCCGUGGUACAGUGAUGAAUUUGCUGGUGUUGGCCGCUGUCUCUGCAUUUUUGUCCUGAGAUUCCAGGAUGGACGUCAAAAAACUGCAUCAGGCAUGGAUAUCAUGCAAGUAAUGCGGUGAGCAAGGUCCAGUGAGAGAGGGCAGGGUGGUGAAGGCCCUGGCUGCCUUUAGGGAUGGAUGGUAGCUGCUUGUAUGUGGUUGGUUUGUGUGUCUCUUGCAGCCUGGCAGAUAUCCAUGAAUUGACGUGUUUGUUGCAAGUGCUUGUUUUCUGCCGGAAAGAGUAAGGUAAUGGGAGACCUGCGGCUGCUCUCCUGGUAAGGUCAUUUAUACCCACCCGUUUUUCGUCCUUGGGGUUUUCCUGCGGCUGAAAUCUCUGUCCUUCUGCUUUGAAGGGAGCUCUUUUUUUGUCAGUGUGUGCAAUCCACUGUGUCUCCUGCAAACCAAGUGCUGUCCAUGGUAUAGUGAUGAGUUUGCUGGUGGUGGCUGCUGCCUCUGCAUUUCUGACCAGAGUUUCCGGGACGGAUGUGAAAAAAAUGGCCUCAGGCAUGGAUAUGAUGGAAGGAACGCGGUGAGCAAGGUCCAAUGAGAGAGGGCAGGGAGGUGAAGCCAGGGGCUGCACCUAGUGUUGGGUGGUGGCUGCUCGUCCGUGGUUGGUUUGUGUGUCUCUUGCAGGGUGGCAGAUGGCCAUGCAUUGUGUUGGCGUGUUUGUUGCAGGUCCUUGUUUUCAUUACCUGAAAGAGUAAGGUAAUGGGAGACGUGCGACUGCUCUCCUGGUAAGGUCA